rnacentral:rRNA from 1 species
AACGAACGCUGGCGGCGUGCCUAACACAUGCAAGUCGAACGUGAUUGAGAGCUUGCUCUCAUGAAAGUGGCGCACGGGUGAGUAACGCGUAGAUAAUCUGCCUGAUGAUCCGGGAUAACACUUCGAAAGGGGUGCUAAUACCUGAUAAGCCCACGGGGUCUUUGGACUCUGCGGGAAAAGGGGGGGACCUUUUAGGCCUUCCGUCAUCAGAUGAGUCUGCGUACCAUUAGCUAGUUGGUAGGGUAAAGGCCUACCAAGGCGACGAUGGUUAGCUGGUCUGAGAGGAUGAUCAGCCACACUGGAACUGAGACACGGUCCAGGCUCCUACGGGAGGCAGCAGUGGGGAAUUUUGCGCAAUGGGGGAAACCCUGACGCAGCAACGCCGCGUGAGUGAUGAAGGCUCUUGGGUCGUAAAGCUCUGACAGAGGGAAAGAAAUGUGGGGAGGCUAAUACCCUUUUCACUUGACGGUACCCUCAAAGGAAGCACCGGCUAACUCCGUGCCAGCAGCCGCCGUAAUAC